rnacentral:rRNA from 1 species
UGCAAGUCGAGCGAUCUCUUCGGAGAGAGCGGCGGACGGGUGAGUAACGCGUGGGUAACCUGCCCUGUACACACGGAUAACAUACCGAAAGGUAUACUAAUACGGGAUAACAUACGAAAGUCGCAUGGCUUUUGUAUCAAAGCUCCGGCGGUACAGGAUGGACCCGCGUCUGAUUAGCUAGUUGGUAAGGUAAUGGCUUACCAAGGCAACGAUCAGUAGCCGACCUGAGAGGGUGAUCGGCCACACUGGAACUGAGACACGGUCCAGACUCCUACGGGAGGCAGCAGUGGGGAAUAUUGCACAAUGGGCGAAAGCCUGAUGCAGCAACGCCGCGUGAGCGAUGAAGGCCUUCGGGUCGUAAAGCUCUGUCCUCAAGGAAGAUAAUGACGGUACUUGAGGAGGAAGCCCCGGCUAACUACGUGCCAGCAGCCGCGGUAAUACGUAGGGGGCUAGCGUUAUCCGGAAUUACUGGGCGUAAAGGGUGCGUAGGUGGUUUUUUAAGUCAGAAGUGAAAGGCUACGGCUCAACCGUA